rnacentral:rRNA from 1 species
GACGAACGCUGGCGGCGUGCCUAAUACAUGCAAGUAGAACGCUGAAGAGAGGAGCUUGCUCUUCUUGGAUGAGUUGCGAACGGGUGAGUAACGCGUAGGUAACCUGCCUUGUAGCGGGGGAUAACUAUUGGAAACGAUAGCUAAUACCGCAUAACAAUGGAUGACUCAUGUCAUUUAUUUGAAAGGGGCAAAUGCUCCACUACAAGAUGGACCUGCGUUGUAUUAGCUAGUAGGUGAGGUAACGGCUCACCUAGGCGACGAUACAUAGCCGACCUGAGAGGGUGAUCGGCCACACUGGGACUGGAACACGGCCCAGACUCCUACGGGAGGCAGCAGUAGGGAAUCUUCGGCAAUGGGGGCAACCCUGACCGAGCAACGCCGCGUGAGUGAAGAAGGUUUUCGGAUCGUAAAGCUCUGUUGUAAGUCAAGAACGAGUGUGAGAGUGGAAAGUUCACACUGUGACGGUAGCUUACCAGAAAGGGACGGCUAACUACGUGCCAGCCGCCGCGGUAA